AAACUGGACACCGAUAAUCACCAGAGCACGCAUCAACUAAACACCCUGCUCCAGGCCAGAUAAAUAGACCUCUGAACCAGUAUGGGGGAGAGACAACCAGAAGCAGAAAUACAGUCAGGCUGGAAGCUCCAACCCCCCAGCUCCAACCCCCCAGGUUUUCACCAAACCAGCCUCAGGACUGAAGACUGGCGAGUAUUUUCCUCAACCGUAGACUGGUUUACCCUUCUGCUAUUCCGGGUACAGCAACAGUAGGGACACAUAUGGUAUAGAUACAGUACAGAUUAUAUAGUGUAGCUUUCAACCGGUAAACUACUGUUUAGCUUUAAGAUUUAUGUGUGGGUUGUGCCCAUUUUCAGUACCUAGAACCUGUGCCCCUAUUGUGUGCUGACCCUCAUGGCAUCACAAUAUGUAUAGUUUAUAUUUGUGCUACCUGAAUGUAAUAUUUUGCACUUUUAUUUUAUGUUAUUACAUGUCA
rnacentral:lncRNA from 1 species